rnacentral:rRNA from 1 species
AUUCCAGCUCCAAUAGCGUAUAUUAAAGUUGUUGCAGUUAAAAAGCUCGUAGUUGGAUUUCAGUCUUAAUUCGUCUGGCCCGCUCCCUUGAGGAGCCGAGUGCCGGUUGCGAAUUGGACUUCCUUCUAGCAUGAAUCUCCUACCGUUAUGCGGCCGGGAAGGACAUCUGGAUCAUUUACUUUGAAGAAAUUAGAGUGUUCAAAGCAAGCUUACGCUGUGAAUAUAUUAGCAUGGAAUAAUAACAUAGGACUCGGGUUCUAUUUUGUUGGUUUCUAGGACUCAAGUAAUGAUUGAUAGGGACAGUUGGGGGUGCUGCUAUUAUAUGGCCAGAGGUGAAAUUCACGGAUUCAUAUAAGAGCAACUUAUGCGAAAGCAUUCACCAAGGAUGUCUUCAUCA